rnacentral:rRNA from 1 species
AGUGAACGCUGGCGGUAGGCCUAACACAUGCAAGUCGAACGGCAGCACAGUAAGAGCUUGCUCUUACGGGUGGCGAGUGGCGGACGGGUGAGGAAUACAUCGGAAUCUACUUUUUCGUGGGGGAUAACGUAGGGAAACUUACGCUAAUACCGCAUACGACCUACGGGUGAAAGCAGGGGAUCUUCGGACCUUGCGCGAUUGAAUGAGCCGAUGUCGGAUUAGCUAGUUGGCGGGGUAAAGGCCCACCAAGGCGACGAUCCGUAGCUGGUCUGAGAGGAUGAUCAGCCAGACUGGAACUGAGAAACGGUCCAGACUCCUACGGGAGGCAGCAGUGGGGAAUAUUGGGCAAUGGGCGCAAGCCUGAUCCAGCCAUACCGCGUGGGUGAAGAAGGCCUUCGGGUUGUAAAGCCCUUUUGUUGGGAAAGAAGAGCAGCAGGUUAAUACCCCGCUGUUCUGACGGUACCCAAAGAAUAAGCACCGGCUAACUUCGUG